GUGGGGCUUUAAAGUUAGUUUCUUUUACUGCAGUCCAGGAGAUAGGAUCACCUUUGUUUCCUGUAAUUUAUAACCUGGUCUGUUACAGUAAGUGCUGCAGCAGUCAGAAGAAAUGGAUUUGAAGCUAGUCACUCUCUUUGCUGCUCUUGCAUUUGUGAUUGUCCAAACAUCUGAGGGAUUCCCUGGACCAGCGUGUCGCAACCAACAGAACCCAGCUCCUACCUACCCAUGAUCAACCUAGCUGGCCACUAGAUUGAUCCGGACUCUAGACUGCUACUCUACUUCCAAUAUCCUUUAACUGUUGCACAGAAGUAUCGCACCAUGUGCCCAGAAGACUUCUAAGAAAAGUUCUAAAAUUUGAAA